rnacentral:rRNA from 1 species
GAGACCCACGCCAACAGUUGCCAGCAUGUCCUCCGGGAUGAUGGGGACACUGUUGGGACCGCCUCUGCUAAACAGGAGGAAGGAAUGGGCAACGGUAGGUCAGCAUGCCCCGAAUUACCCGGGCUACACGCGGGCUACAAUGGACAGGACAAUGGGAAUCGACACCGAGAGGUGAAGGCAAUCCCCUAAACCUGCCCUUAGUUCGGAUUGUGGGCUGCAACUCGCCCACAUGAAGCUGGAAUCCGUAGUAAUCGCGGAUCAACAUUCCGCGGUGAAUAU